CCUACGGGAGGCAGCAGUGGGGAAUAUUGGACAAUGGGCGAAAGCCUGAUCCAGCAAUGCCGCGUGAGUGAAGAAGGCCUUCGGGUUGUAAAGCUCUUUUACCCGGGAAGAUAAUGACCGUACCGGGAGAAUAAGCCCCGGCUAACUCCGUGCCAGCAGCCGCGGUAAUACGGAGGGGGCUAGCGUUGUUCGGAAUCACUGGGCGUAAAGCGUGCGUAGGCGGCCAUUCAAGUCAGAGGUGAAAGCCCAGGGCUCAACCCUGGAACUGCCUUUGAAACUAGGUGGCUGGAACACGGGAGAGGUGAGUGGAAUUCCGAGUGUAGAGGUGAAAUUCGUAGAUAUUCGGAAGAACACCAGUGGCGAAGGCGGCUCACUGGACCGUUGUUGACGCUGAGGCACGAAAGCGUGGGGAGCAAACAGGAUUAGAUACCCUGGUAGUCCACGCCGUAAACGAUGAUAACUAGCUGUUGGGGCUCUUUGAGCUCCAGUGGCGCAGCUACGACAUUAAGUUAUUCCGUCCGUCGGGUAGGUACGGCCGGCCGAACGGUUAAAACCGUUAAAACGGUAAAGUUAGGUACGGCGUGGAGACGUCGUCCGAACGGACGACGACGAGGGGAAGGUAGG
rnacentral:rRNA from 1 species